ACUUUCGGUUAUCUAGCUUUAUGAAGAAUGUACGUCACUCAUACAGCUAGAUAACCAAAGAU
rnacentral:pre_miRNA from 5 species